rnacentral:rRNA from 1 species
AGAAAUUUAAGAGCCGCGGUAUUUUGACCGUGCAAAGGUAGCAUAAUCAUUAGUUUUUUAAUUGAGAACUUGUAUGAAUGGUCGGACAAAGGAAAAGCUGUCUCUGUUAUAAAGAUUGAAAUUAACUUUUAAGUGAAAAGGCUUAAAUAAUUCAAGGGGACGAUAAGACCCUAUAAAGCAUUUUAUUGGGGCGAUAAAAAUAUAAUUAUUAACUGUUUAAAAGUUAUACAAUAAUAGUUGAAAAGAUCCUUUUUAAUGAUUUAAAGACUAAGUUACUUUAGGGAUAACAGCGUUAUUUUUUUUGAGAGUUCAUAUCGAAAAAAAAGUUUGCGACCUCGAUGUUGAAUUAAAAUAUCUUUAUGGCGUAGCCGUUAUAUAAGAGGGUCUGUUCGACCUUUAAAUUUUU